GAAACAUAUAGAACGCCCAGCAUUAUUGUUGUCUAAGGGAUGGCAACAAGCACAAAAGUCUGCUUGUGUGAAACCAAGAGAUUUGUAUGAGAGCUAUUUACCCAGCUGAUGUCACCUGCUACAAAGGACAAACGAACAAAAAGUGACUGCACAUCUCAAGCAUCUGAUAAACAUAAGGAGGGUGACAGUGAGGAAAGGAAGAGAGAGAAACAACAGAAAGUAAAUAAAAUGGAGUCUUUGGCCAAAGAACUGGAUGAACUGUUAAAACAAGAUGGACAGGGUUUUAUAACUUCAGUUACUGGCUUUUACUGCCAGAAAUGUGAGGAGUUCAUUGGAGAUUUGAAGUCUGCUGAAAACCAUGCAGCUAUCCGCCAUCAUAGUAAUUCUAUUCCAAAAGAACAGACGGACAGGCACUCUAAAGACAGCAAAGGACACCCUCAUCAUUACAGUGCCUCCAGUAAUCGACACCCUGCCCCCCCAGACAGGAGAGAUCACAGGGGUUAUGGUUACCACGGGGAUUCAGGAAACCACCGGAAUAGGACAGACCAUCUACGGAAUUGGAAGGAUGAGAAAGAUUUCAGAAGCCAAUACCAUGAUGAUGACCACAAAAGUCACAAGGAUAGAGAUGAAAACAUCUUCUUGAAAGAGGAAAUGAAAAAGGAGCAAAUGUUUAUAACAGUCUCCGAUGGACUGACACCUUCAACUUCUAACAUCAGGGUCAAGGAGGAGGUGGACAAGGAGAAGGCCACUGGAAGCCAUGGUAAAGUUAAAGCGAAAGACCUAGAAUCAUCCAAGGAGAAAAAAGGCAGCAUUGAAAAUGAUAAAUACAGUGAUAGCACUGAUGAUGACGGAAAAUCACCUAAAACAAAAAAGAAUAAAAAGAAAAAGAAGAAGAAGGAGAAAAAGAAUAAGAAACAGAAGGAAGAUAAGUCUUAGGUGUUAUAUUGUCCUUGUCAUAUAACUCUGGGAUCAUGGUGUAGCAGCUUAUUUCUGGACUGAUUUUCUAACAUAGUUUUCUCACUUUCUUUUCCUCCACCCAAUUGUUUUUUGUUACUGUCAUUAUGAAGGAAUAGACUGAUAUGUUAGGAAGCACGUUUGUUGGUGGUCGUUCUCUAAAAGUAGUUUAGUAUUACUUUUAUCUUUGUGUAUCUAGGACAGUGGUCUUUACCUCACUUAGAACUAAGAUUGACUUUUCUCAGUUAAUUUAGGUAUUUUUUCCCACUUCAGACAGCGUGUGUGCUCGGUCAAAUGAAUUCUCAUGUGGAAUGAAAUGUUCUCAUGUGUUCCUCAGUAAACAGGCAAACAAAAACCUUUUCCAAAACGUCUGUUCCCUUUACACAUUCUGCACAGUUUUCAGCAGUACUGUAUUAAUGUCUGCCACGUUUCAGGUAUGGCAUCACAUCUUGGUUCUAUCUUUUAAUUAAAUGUUCGAGAAAAUAAGCAGUAAGUACUUUUUUCAUUUCAUUGGACCAACAGCAUUGUAGUUUUAGAAAAGUUAUACAUGUAUCUGACAUCUUGUAUUCAUUAUGAUCUCAAAUAAAGUAAAAUAAACAAAUGUGUACUAUUCCUUAGUUUUUUGGGUUUUCUUUUUUGAUUUUAAAGUCAACUUUAUACUGUGUUUGAGUGGCAAAAAAGGGUCACUAAUGUCCCUACAGCACUUCAGCAUCAGAACUGUAAGCCUUUCCCACCCCAGUAUUGCAUCCUUUUCUUGCUUCCUUCCCCACACAUUCAGUUCCUUGGUAAUUUAACUGCUCAUUGGAUCGGAACUAUG
ensembl:lncRNA